UACAGAGGGUGCGAGCGUUGUCCGGAAUCACUGGGCGUAAAGGGCGCGUAGGCGGCUUGAUAAGCGUGCGGUGAAAGCCCGGGGCUCAACCCCGGGUCGGCCGUGCGAACUGUCGAGCUGGAGCACUGUAGAGGCAGGUGGAAUUCCGGGUGUAGCGGUGGAAUGCGUAGAGAUCCGGAAGAACACCGGUGGCGAAGGCGGGUCUCUGGGCAGUAACUGACGCUGAGGAGCGAAAGCGUGGGGAGCGAACAGG
rnacentral:rRNA from 1 species